AGUGAACGCUGGCGGUAGGCCUAACACAUGCAAGUCGAACGGCAGCACAGUAAGAGCUUGCUCUUACGGGUGGCGAGUGGCGGACGGGUGAGGAAUACAUCGGAAUCUACUUUUUCGUGGGGGAUAACGUAGGGAAACUUACGCUAAUACCGCAUACGACCUACGGGUGAAAGCAGGGGAUCUUCGGACCUUGCGCGAUUGAAUGAGCCGAUGUCGGAUUAGCUAGUUGGCGGGGUAAAGGCCCACCAAGGCGACGAUCCGUAGCUGGUCUGAGAGGAUGAUCAGCCACACUGGAACUGAGACACGGUCCAGACUCCUACGGGAGGCAGCGGUGGGGAAUAUUGGACAAUGGGCGCAAGCCUGAUCCAGCCAUACCGCGUGGGUGAAGAAGGCCUUCGGGUUGUAAAGCCCUUUUGUUGGGAAAGAAAAGCAGCAGGUUAAUACCCCGCUGUUCUGACGGUGCCCAAAGAAUAAGCACCGGCUAACUUCGUG
rnacentral:rRNA from 1 species